GGGGAAUUUUAGUUCGAGUGCGGCAUUCCAAAUCGGUAGUAAAAAGUGCGAGCGUCUAUACGGCGGAAUAUAAAAGUAUGUUAUAAUAAUAAAAAGGAAUACAAGAGACUCUAAUAAAAAUACGCAUAACGUAAAUAUGUAUUCUAAGGUUCUUCUAAUAUUUUUACCACCCGGCUGGAGAGGACCGCAACACAUCAAGGAUCUUCUCGACAAACAUAUCCUUGGCAAAUUUCCCAGCUACAGCCACGCUUUUCUCUUCAAAGCCAUACCUUGUUCUUCUACUCCGCGAUAUUAACAAACACAUCCCUGAGUCAAUUUCGCCGGCUGCUCGUCUCGGUGAAUCUUUUCGGCGAAGGUUGUUCCACGCUGAGAAACGUUGCAAUUAAAUUGGUGCGCUUUAGGGAUCCGUGCGUGAGCCGUGUUAAAAUGUGCAGGACGCGUGUCGUGCAUAUGUAACAGAUGGGAACGAGACGGAAACGUGAAAUUGCGUUCGAUUGGCCGAGGUACAGCUCGAGAACUCCUGAGCCAGUGGUGUCACCGAUCGCAGAUCUGGCUGGUGACAUUUCUACGUAUUAAUAACUUGUGAAUAUAAUUAAACUGGUGUAUAUAGGAAUGGUUUCUAGGGCAAUGUCGUAUUUAUUUCCGCGAUUCGAAUGGUGUUCUCUUCGGGAACAAUUAAUACUACGAGUUAUCAUUAAAUGUGUUUGAAUGGGACUGAAAUAUGAUGUUGCUCGCAUGACGUUGUUUCGUGAAGAAUAUUUUUAGCUGCUUUUCCUUGGCUCUUUCGAUGCGGUACUCUCUUUCUGCGUGCUCUCGACGGGACGGUCUCGCUAUAUUUCUGUCUACCGCGAGGAUGACGGUAAAAAGAACGAAAAAACGCGAAAUACGCAAGGCUCCCACACGAGGCGGCCCCUUUGACGAUGAAACGAGCCGUCGAUGGAUCUAACGAAUCAAGUAGUUCGACGGAUCGUGAACAUUCAGCGACCUACGUAGGUGACUUUCCAUGAAAUUGUGGAUGAAAUUAUAGUUUCCAAUUGUAAGAUAAAUUGUUGAAAUAAAUGAU